rnacentral:rRNA from 1 species
AUUGAACGCUGGCGGCAUGCUUUACACAUGCAAGUCGAACGGCAGCGCGGGCUUCGGCCUGGCGGCGAGUGGCGAACGGGUGAGUAAUACAUCGGAACGUGCCCAGAAGUGGGGGAUAGCUCGGCAAAAGCCGGAUUAAUACCGCAUACGACCUGAGGGUGAAUGCGGGGGAUCUUCGGACCUCGCGCGCUUGGAGCGGCCGAUGGCAGAUUAGCUAGUUGGUGGGGUAAAGGCCUACCAAGGCGACGAUCUGUAGCUGGUCUGAGAGGACGACCAGCCACACUGGGACUGAGACACGGCCCAGACUCCUACGGGAGGCAGCAGUGGGGAAUUUUGGACAAUGGGCGAAAGCCUGAUCCAGCAAUGCCGCGUGUGUGAUGAAGGCCUUCGGGUUGUAAAGCACUUUUGGCGGGAACGAAAAGGACUGUGCCAAUACCACGGUUCGAUGACGGUACCCGCAGAAUAAGCACCGGCUAACUACGUG